rnacentral:rRNA from 1 species
CCUACGGGAGGCAGCAGUGAGGAAUAUUGGUCAAUGGGCGCAGGCCUGAACCAGCCAAGCCGCGUGAGGGAAGACUGCCCUAUGGGUUGUAAACCCCUUUUAUAAGGGAAGAAUAAUGACUACGUGUAGUCAGAUGCCCGUACCUUACGAAUAAGCUUCGGCUAACUCCGUUCCAGCAGCCGCGGCAGUACGGGGGAUGCGAGCGUGAUCCGGAUUGAUUUGGUUGAAGGUGUGCGUAGGCGGUAUUUUAAGUUAGUGGAAAAACGGCGGGGCUUCACCUUGAUUGGCCAUUAAAACUGGAGUACUAGAGUACAGACGAGGUAGGCGGAAUAAGUUAAGUAGCGGUGAAAUGCUUAGAUAUAACUUAGAACCCCGGUAGCGAAGGCAGCUUACCAGACUGUUACUGACGCUGAAGCACGAGAGCGUGGGUAGCGAACAGGAUUAGAUACCCUUGUAGUC